rnacentral:rRNA from 1 species
AACGAACGCUGGCGGCAUGCCUAACACAUGCAAGUCGAACGAAGGCUUCGGCCUUAGUGGCGCACGGGUGCGUAACGCGUGGGAAUCUGCCCUUUGGUUCGGAAUAACAGCUGGAAACGGCUGCUAAUACCGGAUGAUGACGAAAGUCCAAAGAUUUAUCGCCAGAGGAUGAGCCCGCGUUGGAUUAGGUAGUUGGUGGGGUAAAGGCCUACCAAGCCGACGAUCCAUAGCUGGUCUGAGAGGAUGAUCAGCCACACUGGGACUGAGACACGACCCAGACUCCUACGGGAGGCAGCAGUGGGGAAUAUUGGACAAUGGGCGCAAGCCUGAUCCAGCAAUGCCGCGUGAGUGAUGAAGGCCCUAGGGUUGUAAAGCUCUUUUACCCGGGAAGAUAAUGACUGUACCGGGAGAAUAAGCCCCGGCUAACUCCGUG